AGAACGAACGCUGGCGGCAGGCUUAACACAUGCAAGUCGAACGGUUGUAGCAAUACAGCAGUGGCAGACGGGUGAGUAACACGUGGGAACCUUCCUAGGGGUACGGAACAACUCAGGGAAACUUGAGCUAAUACCGUAUACGUCCGUGAGGAGAAAGAUUUAUCGCCCCUAGACGGGCCCGCGUAGGAUUAGGUAGUUGGUGAGGUAACGGCUCACCAAGCCUACGAUCCUUAGCUGAUCUGAGAGGAUGAUCAGCCACACUGGAACUGAGACACGGUCCCAGACUCCUACGGGAGGCAGCAGUGGGGAAUUUGUACGAAUAGGGCGGGCCGAAGACCGUC
rnacentral:rRNA from 1 species